AGAGAGUGAGGGAGAGAAGAAAUAGAGUAGAAGAGGGAAGGUGAGAACUCGAUCGAGAGUUUGGGCUGGAUUACGGUAGAGGAAGAAGGAGCUAAGUUGAUAGGACGAUAGGGGAGCAAGAAUUCGGGGUGACAACAAAAACGAACCCCAGGGGCUGAGGAGACCGAGAAUAUACAACCGGAAAGCUCAACUCGUUGAGUUAUGUUUGGGGGGAUCUUUAUGAGCUAGGAGCCAGACUAACCGCACAGGAUAUCUUUUUGGACAACGGGGAUCAGUGCGGAGGAUCUUUUUGCAGUAGGGCCCACUCCUAGUAUAAGUAGUAAGUUCUUGUAGAAUGUUAUGAUUAAGUUACGACCUGAAACUUUUGUUUAGUUGGGUUAGUGAUAUGGUUGUGGAAAGUACUCUCUUGAGAGUUAUAUAUAUAUAUCAGAACCGGCUGAAUUGGUUA